rnacentral:misc_RNA from 1 species
GCACGCCUGUUCGAGCGCCGUUUCAAAUCUAAGGCUUUGCCUUGUGUUGGAAUAGUCCGUUUCGCGGAUGGUCCGAAACUCUUUGGGCGCCUUCCUGUCCCUGGCAGCGUAGCAAGUCUUUUCGCUGCUCGGUUUUUGUGAAGGCUGCCGGUCUACACGAGUUUGGCCUCGAAUCAGGUGAGGAUACCCGCUGAACUUAA